rnacentral:rRNA from 1 species
UGGGGAAUAUUGGACAAUGGGCGAAAGCCUGAUCCAGCCAUGCCGCGUGUGUGAAGAAGGUUUUCGGAUUGUAAAGCUCUUUAAGUUGGGAGGAAGGGCAGUAAGCGAAUACCUUGCUGUUUUGACGUUACCGACAGAAUAAGCACCGGCUAACUCUGUGCCAGCAGCCGCGGUAAUACAGAGGGUGCAAGCGUUAAUCGGAAUUACUGGGCGUAAAGCGCGCGUAGGUGGUUCGUUAAGUUGAAUGUGAAAGCCCCGGGCUCAACCUGGGAACUGCAUCCAAAACUGGCGAGCUAGAGUAGGGCAGAGGGUGGUGGAAUUUCCUGUGUAGCUGUGAAAUGAGUAGAUAUAGGAAGGAACACCAGUGGCGAAGGCGACCACCUGGGCUCAUACUGACACUGAGGUGCGAAAGCGUGAGGAGCAAACAGG